rnacentral:lncRNA from 10 species
GAUCUCUCAGUUAGCCCUAGUGAUCUAUUUCACUGAAUGAUUUAUUUCCUCACAACAACCUGUAUGCCUUUGUGUUCUCCACCAGGAACCAAUUUGCUGAGAGGAUGAGACCGAGUGUCACAGGCUGAUCAAACAGGUCAACUUUGACUCGAGAGAAAAUAAGUUCUAUCGGCACUGCCUCCCCCAGCAGACUGUACACAAUCACAUGCUGCAGAACGAUGUUUUGGACAAUGAUGAACCGGAUACACGACAGUGGUCUCCUAAGAUGAUCAUGGAGCUGAAAACUUCAUCGAGAGCUGUCAUAACACCACAGUGCAAUUACUCUAUUUUUAAAAUAAAUGUACUGCAGCCUCAGUGUGCCAUGUUGAUAAAGUCUGCAGUCAUGUACAGCAAUGUCCUAGGCCUUCACAUUCACUCAGCGCUCACUCACUGACUCACCCAGAGCAGCUUCCAGUCCUGCAAGCUCCGUUCAUGGUGAGUGCCCAAUA